AAGAAAAGCUUCCGUGUACGAUAAAGAACUCCAUCAUCUACAUGUGGAAGAAAGAGAUUUUUCCCAUUUUCUGCGAUGUGGAACCUGAGGAUGUCAAGCUUAAAACUCCAUUCUACCGUGAUGCCAUAUUGAAGUUGGAGCAAGAGCAGAAGUUGAGUAUUGUUGAGGUUGGCUUGUAGAAAGGCUCUUGAAGAAGUCGAUGAAAUGAAGGGAUGGAACCUGAAAAAGGAUGACGGUUAAGCUCCUCUCUUUUUUCUUUUUCACAGAACAUAUUCUUGAUAAGCUCUACCUAACUGUCGGAAAAAAUUUGUAGUAAUCAAGAUUUCUAUUGUUUAGUAUCAGUGAAGUUUUCGUGUUUUGCAUAGUUUCUGCUGUUUUACCAUUUUUCUCCCUGUUCUUUUACUUGGAAAAGGAAUAGUAAAUAAAGUAAGUACAAACAUGAACGGAUAUAUUAUGAUCUUUUCCCACUAAAACUGGUUUGCAAUUAAUUGUGACAGGGACUAAUCAAACUGGUGGUUGGGGUGGUUUUGCAUAAGCUGAAGACAAUACAUAAGUCUGUGACUGAACAUUUAGUUGGAAUGAACAACGGAGUGGCAGACCUGAGACAGUUAUUAGCUAUCGAAGCAAGUGGUUUUUGGCUGGCUGUAGCUCAUGGAAUGGGAGGCAUAGAAAAAACAACUCUAGCCAAGGUCGUCUUCAAUCAACUGUCGCCUCACUUUGAAAUGUGCAGCAGUUUCUUUGAAGAUAUCCAAGAAAAAGUCAUCAAGAGGUGAAGGAAUAGUCAAGUUGCAAAACAGUUAUCAUCGGAUAUGGUCAAUUCUUCCACGUCGAACAACAUUAAUGACGUUGAUUAUGGAGAGCAGAGGAUUGAAGAAACACUCCACAAAUAGAAGGUCCUCAUUGUUCCCGAUGAUCUAGACAUGAGUGAACGAGUCCACAAGUUCACCAAGUUUACCUUGUGGUUCAGGUUCUAGAGUUAGUAUUACAACUAGGAAUAAAAAUGUUUUGCAUAAUAAAGAAUUAAUGUAUGACGUUCUAGAUUAUGAAAUGGAGGAAAUGAGUUCUGAUCAGGGACUGCGGCUUUUCAGCAGGCAUGCCUUCGAGAGAGACAUUCCUUUAGAUGACAACCACAAAGAGACGUCUCCAUGACUGGAAGACUUCCUUUGGCUCUUGAAGUGUUAGGUGUGUUCCUUUAUCUGAAAAGGAAGGAAAAUUUGAAAAGAGACGAAACAAAUUAAGUAGAUUUCCUCACGAGGAUGUCGUAGGAAAGUUGAAGAUCAGUUAUGAUGCCUUGAGUACUGACUGAUGACAAAUUUUUCUAGAUAUUGCUUGCUUUUUCAUUGAUGAGAACCACAAUAUGGCAAUUCACAUGUGGAAGGAUUGUGCAUUUUUGCCAUGAAUGGGUUAUCGACGUCCUUGAUAAAGGUUGCAGGAUCAACUAAUAGAACUUGGAAGGGAAAUCGUCCAUCAAAAAGCUCUAAUAGAUCCUGGAAAUAAAGCAAAUCUUCAACUAUCAAUAAAUAAUUUAUUCUCUUUUUUACCAAGUACCUUUCUCUUAAGGCGUUUCUUCUCUUCUGUGAAAUGUGAUUGUUGAACAGAGAAGAGGAACUCUAACUCACUGACUAGUUUUUACUGUCACAGAGGAAACGAAAUAUUCAAGCACUCCAUCUAGCCUGGCAUAGUUUUCCAAGAUUCCAUAUUACUAUUGAAGAGAUGGAAAGGUUUGGACCUAUAAGGUUCCUCAAAUUGGACGGAGGAACUUUUGCUGGGGACUUCACCAAAUGUCUUUCCAACUUGAUGGAUUUCUUGGGCUUUUCCUUAACCAGAUUUUAGGGUGGCCAGUAUGCAGUAAAGAAUAUAGUCGUUUUCAAAUUUUGUUAUAAUGACUUCACAGAGGAAGUAUGGAGCAUACUAAAGAUGGCAAGUUCUGACGCUGAAAAACUGUUCUACCAUAACUAAAACUCCAGACUUUUCUAGUUGCUCUCAAGUUUGAUGGAAAAUGACUGCUCCACUGGAAAACUGAAGUGCUUGACUGACUUGAGUAUUGAAAGUUGCAGGCGUCUUAAAGAGUUGCCUGAAGAAAUUCGAAGGCUGGUGAUUCUUAAGCACUUCUCUUUACAGGAAUGUUUUGUGGAGAAGAAACUCCUCGACUUAUUUGGUAAACUAGCGUCAUUGAACAAAGGUUUUUGUAUGGAAUAUGGCGAUCCGUUGCUUACCGGAUUCUAUUAGUGGACUAAACUGUUUUGUCAACUCUCAGGAUAUCACACACAGCAAUCAUCGAACUUCUGAAUUCUACUGGAGGGCUAGGGAAGCUGGAUUACUCAUCUUUCUUCUGAACUCUGCUUCCCCUCCUUGGAAAAACUGGGCUUAGAAUUGUGAGAUUCAAGAGUUUUCCAGAGCUACUCGCAAGCUUCAUGUGUUUACGAUUCUAGUCUAUUUCGUUGCGGUCGGUACCUAAUCUCACCGAUCUGUGAUAUUUGGUUGAAUUGAAUCUACAUGAUGGCACUGGUUAUACAGGACAGAAGGUAGUGCAGACUCGUGACCAAUGGUGGAUUGGGAGGUUGUCCAAACCGAAAGAAAUUGACUUGUGCCUUUGGCAUAUCACUGUGCCCCCAGUGGAGUGAGGCUCGCUUUCUCUUCUAAACGUACUCACUUUGUCUGUACUAACCCUGCUAUCCUGCGCACAUCUUCCAUCUUCUCUGGUGCAGUUAAACCUUGAUAAAGUCAACCCACCAAGAUCACUCUUGUCCAGCUUGAAAAUUUUGGAAAAUUGGUCGGCUUUAGAGCUCUCUCCUUCUUGAAUGAUACAACUUGAGGGACUUUCACAAUUAGAGUAGAAGGUCAUGAUGCUGUGAACCGGAGAGAUUGAGCUUCAAGAAACUGGAAAGUACUAGUGGGGAGCUGAUGCUCGAAGCUGGUUGAGGUUCAAUUUACUGGCAGUGUGCUGCAACCACCGAAGAGAUUAGCUAUCUACCGCGGCCUUUUGAAUCUCUCUUAUAACUAGAGUUGUUGAGUGUUGACUGCUCGUGGGACGAAUAGUAAUCCUUCUAUUGAACCCCUUAAAGAAUCUAGAAGACGAGUGCCCAAAGCUACCCGGCAUCCAAGUCGUCGGCAAGCUGGAAUCAUUGGAAGAGUUCUCUCUUUAUAGGUGCCACUUUGUGGAACAAUUAGUUGAUUUGUCAAAAUUGAGGAGCCUGAGGCAUAUCAAAAUCAACCAGUGCUAUGGACUACGGUUUGUUGAGGGCCUUGAUCAGUUAGAAUUUUUGGACGGGAUGUAAUUUGAUGGGCGCCUAAUACAUGUUUUCGAUUGUGGGGAGCCGUACGACCAUAACGUCCCAAGGACCCUAGUUCGAGUUUUGUUCAAAGUUCUGAUAAAUCUUCAGUUAAAAGAGGAAAGUUGCAUUUCAAGUAAGCAACUGGUCGUUUUUAUUUUUGCAAGUUAAGAUCUUGUAUGUUUGAGAAACAAAUUCCUGAGCCUUAGACGUCAUUGGACAGGUUUCCAGAGUUCAUUUUGAGAAGUCUUAGACCGCCGAGACACAGAAUCCACAAGCUUAAGAAGAAAAGUGAUGGCAAUCUAUUCGAGACUGAAGGAAGCUGCAUUUUUUAAGUCCUAUGACCUAUUGGUUGGUGUUUGCAGUCAUACAAGGGGAAAUCCAAAAGCGUGAUUGAUACUGGAAUGCUUGUCGGCAUUUGAAUCUACUAUUCUCUAUGAACAUCUUUGAAAAUAGCAGAUUGUUUUCCCUGUGUGAAUGCUUAUUAUUGUGACUAAGUUAUGAUACUUUGUUUUCAUUAGU